GUGCAUGCUACAACUUCUUGAAUCCACAUGCACAUAUACUAAUAUUAGAACGGUCUAGAGAAGAUUAGCAGGCUUCUGUAAAAGGAAGACAUAAAAUUUCUGAAGCAUUUCAAUAGCAU
rnacentral:snRNA from 1 species